rnacentral:rRNA from 1 species
UUCAAGAGAACGUGAAACUACCACGAGGUUAAAGCGGAUGUACAUACGUAGCCGAAAAGGGGGCCUCAUCUCCUCGAGCCUCCAGCGGUCGUCGCGUUCGGACCUUCGCUUUCCGUCCACACUUCGGUGGGGAUAACCGGCGAGGGCCGUCGCGACGGCGGACUCGGAGGAUAGGUGGGUGGACUUCCCUCCUCUGUAGGCAGUCGCGGCCGCUCGAGAGUUGUCUAAGACCUUGGAGUCGGGAACCGUCCGGCGAAUAAUACUCGCCGGCGGGGACGCUCCUUCGAUUCUGGCGGACUCUCGGACGGUUGAUAAGAAAUGACGACGUAGAGGAGAGCAAAUCCCUCGUCGUACGCGGCUGUAAUGCGAUCGUUCAUCCGUCCCGUCUUGAAACACGGACCAAGGAGUCUAACAUGUACGCGAGUCAACGGGUUGGCUAAACCCCAAGGCGCAACGAAAGUAAAAAAAGGGCGUCUCCUCCUUCUUCUAGGAGGAGAGGACGCUCGUUGGGUCGAUCCGUGAUCCUCUUCGUAGGACCGGCGCAGACCCGGGGCUCGCCGCUACCUCUUCGAGACUCGUCUCGAGGCGGGCGGCGGGCACCUAGAGCGUACAUGCUAGUACCCGAAAGAUGGUGAUCUAUGCUUGGCCAGGAUGAAGCCAGAGGAAACUCUGGUGGAGGUCCGUAGCGAUUCUGACGUGCAAAUCGAUCGUCAGAGCUGGGUAUAGGGGCGAAAGACCAAUCGAACCAUCUAGUAGCU